rnacentral:rRNA from 1 species
UGGGGGAUAUUGCACAAUGGGCGAAAGCCUGAUGCAGCGACGCCGCGUGGGGGAUGAAGGCCUUCGGGUUGUAAACUUCUUUUGCUCUGAACAAGGCAUGCUAAUGGGUGUGUUGAGUGUAGGGGUUGAUUAGCGCCGGCUAACUACGUGCCAGCAGCCGCGGUAAUACGUAGGGCGCGAGCGUUGUCCGGAAUCAUUGGGCGUAAAGGGCUUGUAGGUGGCUGGUUGCGUCUGUCGUGAAAGCUCAUGGAUUAACUGUGGGUUUGCGGUGGGGACGGGCUGGCUUGAGUGCAGUAGGGGAGGAUGGAAUACCUGGUGUAGCGGUGGAAUGCGCAGAUAUCAGGAGGAAUACCGGUGGCGAAGGCGGGUCUCUGGGCUGUUACUGCCACUGAGGAGCGAAAGCAUGGGGAGCGAACAGG